UACGUAGGGUGCAAGCGUUGUCCGGAAUUAUUGGGCGUAAAGGGCUCGUAGGCGGUCCAUCGCGUCGGGAGUGAAAAGCUGGGGCUUAACCCCAGUCCUGCUUCCGAUACGGGUGGACUAGAGGUAGGUAGGGGAGAACGGAAUUCCUGGUGUAGCGGUGAAAUGCGCAGAUAUCAGGAGGAACACCGGUGGCGAAGGCGGUUCUCUGGGCCUUACCUGACGCUGAGGAGCGAAAGCAUGGGGAGCAAGCAGG
rnacentral:rRNA from 1 species